UUGUGAUUCAUUUUGAGAUUUUAAAAUCAUUUGGCACAUUUGUUCACCAUCAUUAGACGUUGUGUCGCGCGAAAGAAUCACGUCGAUUUCUCCAAGGUCAAGAUCGCCACAACUAAAAAUAGAUUGAUUUUGAAACAACUAUGUAACUAUGAACAAUCAGUAACAAUGCACAUUUUGAUUUUGAGUUGUCUCUCUUUAUCAGCCUUUUUUUAUGCCCCCCUUCAAAGAAGAGGGGGUAUAUUGUUUUGCACAUGUCGGUCGGUCCUUCGGUCGGUCCGUCCACCAGAUGGUUUCCGGAUGAUAACUCAAGAACGCUUAGGCCUAGGAUCAUGACACUUCAUAGGUACAUUGAUCAUGACUGGCAGAUGACCCCUAUUGAUUUUCAGGUCACUAGGUCAAAGGUCAAGGUCACAGUGACUCGAAACAGUAAAAUGGUUUCCGG